rnacentral:tRNA from 1 species
GGGCCCGUGGUCUAGCAGGUUAUGACGUUGCCCUUACACGGCGAAGAUCACCGGUUCGAAUCCGGUCGGGCCCA